CCUACGGGUGGCAGCAGUGGGGAAUAUUGGGCAAUGGGCGCAAGCCUGACCCAGCAACGCCGCGUGAAGGAAGAAGGCCUUCGGGUUGUAAACUUCUUUUGUCAGGGACGAAGCAAGUGCCGGUAGCUGACGAAUAAGCCACGGCUAACUAAGUGCCAGCAGCCGAUGGCAAACGUAGGUGGCAAGUGGUAUCCGGAUUUACUGGGUGUAAAGGGCGUGUAGGCGGGACUGCAAGACAGAUGUGAAAACCACGGGCUCAACCUUUGGACUGCAUUUGACACUGUAGUUCUUGAGUACUGGAGAGGCAGACGGAAUUCCUAGUGUAGCGGUGAAAUGCGUAGAUAUUAGGAGGAACUCCAGUGGCGAAGGCGGUCUGCUGGACAGCAACUGACGCUGAGGCGCGAAAGCGUGGGGAGCAAACAGGAUUAGAUACCCUGGUAGUC
rnacentral:rRNA from 1 species